AACUUUAGCGCAUCGACGAUAACAGCUAGAAUGGCCGCUGCGACGGAGGAUUGUCCCCCGAUGAGACCGCCAUUCUAGCUAUUAUCAUCAAGGUGCUAAAGU
rnacentral:pre_miRNA from 1 species